UCUUCGCACAUAAAUCAUGAAAGAAACUACUCAACAUUUGGAUUGCGAGCCAGUACUAGAUUAAGGACAUUUUUUAAUGAUUUUUAUCAAGAAAAUCAUUAAAAAAAUGUCAUCUCAGACCAGUACUAGAUUAAGGUCAUCUCAGAUCGAGUUGGUAACUUCAUGGUGCUGUCCACAUCAAUCGAAUAACGUCUGCUGAAAUCGCAUAGGUUUAUCUAGCCUAAAUCACACAGCAGGAUCCCCAGAGCUCGCAGCGAGACCAGAUAAGAAUAGGCUUCGGAAGCAUUCAGCGCGUACCAUCAUCUUGGACAGCAUACUAGAAGAGGAUAAGCCUCAUAUUUCUAUCCCUGAUCUUCAUAAAUAAAUUCAUUUUGAUCUCAUCCUAUAAUUUACACAUGCUUAUAGGAAUACAUGAGACUUAUCAAUGUCCAUAUGCUGCUUCCUGCUUAGUGCUUACCGCUAUAAUCCAAGCCUCUUAGCUUGCUGAAUAUACUAGGAGCUAAUGACCCAGUAGCAUGUUUAUAUACCUUGAUUCCGUCGUUAACGUAUACAUGCCUUUUUCACAUAUAUGGUUCAGCUUCGCCAAACAUUCAUGAGUACCGUCACAUGGUAGUUGUCCAUGCACAAAGAGGGUUUUCUGAACUAAAAGCUUGUUCUCUGGAUUUUUCACUUGAUAUUUUUAAUGAUUUUUAGGGAAAACUUGCAGCAUCCUCUUUCAUAUGUUGAACUUGGUCUUCGCACUGCUUGAUUUUAUCAUCCUUCGUUGCAAGGAGUGCAAAGAGUUCUUCUAUCCUCAUCAGAAAGUCUGCGGUUACGUUGUCUUUUUAAUUUCCUCUUCAGAACUUCGUCAUAAAUUUCAUUUCAUCAGGUGUGACCUCUGCCACAAUGCCUUGCUCAUGCAUCUCGACCAUUUUGUCCUGAACAUGGGUUAUCUUGUUUGCUUAGAAGAAACUACAAUGGAAGAGAGCACAUCAGUAUUCUGGGAUCGCGUUCUUCAAUUUUUUGUCAGCUCAAAUGGUAAUGAUCAAGGAAGAACGACACAAUGUCUAUCAGAAAGGUUCGGGGACAUACGGUUUUGUUGUUCACGAUAUAAAAAAAUAUUGAGGGGAUUCAACAUGGAUCAUGAAGCUGCAACUUUUGGAUAUGUUGCAUCUGUAGGGCGAGAAUUCAAAUUCACGGAGGCUUAUGAAAUUAUCAAUGGAAAUGUUUUGGGUUUGUAUUAAACUUGCAUUAAGGAAAUAAUAAGUUCUCUAUUGAUUAUGAUUAUGAGAAACACUAGUGCAAACUGAAUUCCAACUGGGCAGCUAUCAAAUUUUCCUGUCA